rnacentral:lncRNA from 1 species
UACGCUUUACACCUCAUGCAUGCAUUCAUUUUUAGGUCAUUUAACAUUAGAUACAUUGCAUUUCAUCAUGUCAAUCAGAAUUAGAUCCAAGAAGCUUUAUUUAUAAAAAAAAAAUAAAAAAAAUAAAAAAAAUAAAAAAAAUAAAAUAAAAUAAAUAAAAAAAACGAAAAAUAAAAAAACGAAAAUAAAAUAAAAUAAAAAAAUAAAAAAUAAAAAUAAUAAAUAAAUAAAUAAAAGAAAAAAAU